UGGCGAACGGGUGAGUAACGCGUGAGGAACCUGCUCAAAGAGGGGGACAACAGUUGGAAACGACCGCUAAUACCGCAUAAGCCCACGGGUCGGCAUCGAUCUGAGGGAAAAGGAGUGAUCCGCUUUGAGAUGGCCUCGCGUCCGAUUAGCUAGUUGGUGAGGUAACGGCCCACCAAGGCGACGAUCGGUAGCCGGACUGAGAGGUUGAACGGCCACAUUGGGACUGAGACACGGCCCAG
rnacentral:rRNA from 1 species